GACAGAGGUCCCGAGCGUUAGGCGGAAUCACUGGGCUUAAAGCGUGUGUAGGCGGGUCGGUAAGUGCCUUGUGAAAUCCCACGGCUUAACCGUGGAACUGCUUGGCAUACUGGCGGUCUUGAGCAACCUAGGGGCAAGCGGAACAAAUGGUGGAGCGGUGAAAUGCGCAGAUAUCAGGAGGAACACCAAUGGCGAAGGCAGCUCGCUGGGACGGUACUGACGCUGAGACGCGAAAGCGUGGGGAGCAAACAGG
rnacentral:rRNA from 1 species